rnacentral:piRNA from 1 species
UGCAGAUGCCAAGGGUCCCACAAGGAUGU